GAGAGCCAGAGCCACGCUCAGAGCAUCCAUCAGAGACUGAAACCAGAACCAGAACCAGAACCCAGCUGUGUGUCCUUUAAGAGCAACAGGUCAAAGGAUCUUCCUUUUACCUUCAAAUCUCCUGGACCUGCAUCCUCAGAGAGGAUUGUUGAGAGACUGAUAGGUAAACAUCAACCAGAACCAGAACCAGAACCCAGCUGUGUGUCCUUUAAGAGCGACAGGUCAAAGGUUCUUCCUUUUACCUUCAAAUCUCCUGGACCUGCAUCCUCAGAGAGGUGAGCUGUAUCUAACUGCUAUAACUGUGGAAACUGAGUCAGUCUGAAAU